ACAAAAGGGAUGGAACCGCCCUCCAAGGCGAGUGCUUAUAAAGGACUCCUGACACUUACCAUUAUAACAACUACAACCACAAAAGACCUUGGGACUUCUGGGGAACGCAACCAGAGACUCUCUGAUGAUUGACUAUACAGCAGACGGACCAGCAAUCAGCGAGGGACAAAAGGCAUACACUCGUGGCCUGAGGAUUCUCUCUAUCACAUGCAAAUGCCUCCGUGGACCUCAUGAGUUUAGCCAUGCAGCCUAUUUUGCCAGUUCACAAUAUCGGCUGUACAGAUGUGUAAUGCGAGUGGAGGAAGCCAGCCGUGCCCAACCAGGUGCAGUCAGUGGAAGACAUAUACCGAGCCGAAGACUACAACCCUCUGUCCCAAGAGCCCACAGAGAAAGAUCUUCAGUGGCUAAGGAACCAUCUCUGGGGAAGUUUCAGUGAAAUGGCAUGACUCCUUGAACCUGAGGCAGAACAACUGCUACCCUCCCUGUUGUCCCUGUAUGUACCAAACAUUGUUAAAAAACCAGGGCACCUGGGGCAUGCAGAACACUGGCUGGCAUGGUGCUGUCGUGGAGCUUCAGGUGACUAUACGGCAGGCAACAGUUGGACAGUUGGUAAACGAUAUCUGAUGAACCAAUCUGUACAUUCUGUUAAAUAAGUCCCACCAGUCUCUGAAAACACUCUCUCUGUGAAAUGCAGCGUAUGCCACAUCUUCCAACAGAACAAGAUCAGCCUCUCUCAUUGGAUCACCCAUUAUCUCCGUCUCUCAUUGGAUCGCCCAUUAUCUCAGUCUCUCAUUGUAUCUCCCAGUAUCUUAGUCUCAUUGGAUCUCCCAUUAUCUCGGUCUUUUAUAGUAUUUACACAAUGGUUUCACUUUCACACCUGCCUCUAAUUUAAAAAAUGACAGUACUUUAUAUGGAUUAUUAUCAUAACUAAUGCACUGAUGUGGUGAAAUUAUAUAUAGCCUGUGAAGAUGUGUUGCAUGAAUUCACAGUGGAAAUAUAUUUACAUUGAAAAAUGA